rnacentral:rRNA from 1 species
AAUGAACGCUGGCGGCAUGCCUAACACAUGCAAGUCGAACGAAGGCUUCGGCCUUAGUGGCGCACGGGUGCGUAACGCGUGGGAAUCUGCCCUUGGGUUCGGAAUAACAGUUAGAAAUGACUGCUAAUACCGGAUGAUGUCGUGAGACCAAAGAUUUAUCGCCCAAGGAUGAGCCCGCGUAGGAUUAGCUAGUUGGUGGGGUAAAGGCCCACCAAGGCGACGAUCCUUAGCUGGUCUGAGAGGAUGAUCAGCCACACUGGGACUGAGACACGGCCCAGACUCCGACGGGAGGCAGCAGUGGGGAAUAUUGGACAAUGGGCGAAAGCCUGAUCCAGCAAUGCCGCGUGAGUGAUGAAGGCCUUAGGGUUGUAAAGCUCUUUUACCCGGGAUGAUAAUGACAGUACCGGGAGAAUAAGCUCCGGCUAACUUCGUGCCAGCCGCCGCAGUAACAC